CCAGCUGUUCUAACACCUCCUGCCUGCCAGUACUGACUCUUUAUGCAUGGGGGCUUCCGGCUUAUCUAUACUUCGAAGACAGUGAACUAGGUUAACCAGAUAUAGGACUCCUCUGUCUUGCUACGAUGGACAGCCACAAGGAUUCACUUGAAUAAAAGAAGCAACAGUGGGUGCCAGGCUGUUUGAGUUUGAUUUUGAUUUUGAUUUCUGGCAGUGCUGUGGAUUGAAUGGCGGGCCUUGCACAGAAAUGUGCUGUUUUGUUAUACAUUUAUUACAAAGAAUCUCACAAAAAGAAAAUAUUUCAAAAAGAAUGCCAGGCUAAAGAACCUCCACCUGGAGAACUGGGGGAAGGCAGGGCAAUAAUAUCAACGUCAACAUACAGCACCCUCUGGCCAUACUUUAGCAGUUCCAGGAUGGCCAAGACGACAUCGUUGAUGUAACAGAAACCUGAGGCGUCAGACUUCUUUACAUGAUGCAGUCCCCCAGCCUGGCUCGCAGUGAUGUCCCUCUGAUGUGUAUCAAGUUUCACAGCACUUUCCAAAGAGCCACCAAUAGACAACUGACAACUCAGACAGGCCAUCGAUUACCGGGAAGUCCUCACCAACGCGGAAUCUCUGCAUCUGCUUGCUGUAUUUAGACACAUUAUCUGGGCGAAUAGAGCACAAGAGUUUAAUGUAGUCAUCACUGUGGGACUUGGUCAUCUCCUCAGCGUUGGCUCUGUGAGGACGAUAGAUUUCCAUUUUUUGGUAGAGAUGUAGUUGAGCUGCAAAUCACGAGUCAUGUGGAUUCGGUGAGGCUUCAUUGGGUGGCCCUGUCCAUAAGAUAGUUUCCAACAUCCCUGUUAACAGACGUUCCUCUUGCCCUGAGUCUGUGCCAUCUUUCUCACCACCCAGUGCUCCUGCCAGUCUGAUGUUUUAAUAUUUUUAGAUGGUGAUGCUUUGAGUUUAAAUGGCCUUUGACAAAUUCUAUCCUAAUUUCUAAUUAAGACAAGGAAAGAAAACAAAGAUGGAUAAGGACCAUAAAGUAAUGAAUGGACUGGAAACAGAAGUAAACUUAUUCAACAAUAAAA
rnacentral:lncRNA from 1 species